AUUGAACGCUGGCGGCAGGCCUAACACAUGCAAGUCGAACGAGUGGCGGACGGGUGUGUCAUGUCUGUGAAACUGCUUGAUGGAGGGGGUUAACUACUGGAAACGGAAGCUAAUACCGCAUACCUUCGGAUGUGACCAGAGGGGAUUAGCCAGUAGGUGGGGUAAAGGCUAACCUAGGCGACGAUCCCUAGCCGGUCUGAGAGGAUGACCAGCCACACUGGAACUGAGACACGGUCCAGACUCCUACGGGAGGCAGCAGUGGGGAAUAUUGCACAAUGGGCGCAAGCCUGAUGCAGCCAUGCCGCGUGUAUGAAGAAGGCCUUCGGGUUGUAAAGUACUUUCAGCGGGGAGGCGUUACCCACAGAAGAAGCACCGGCUAACUCCGUGCCAGCAGCCGCGGUAAUUC
rnacentral:rRNA from 1 species